GGUCCAUGUGGUAUAUGCACUGAGGCGAAUGGGCACACAAUGGCGGGAAAUUUUGAAAAGCUGAUGGGCAGCCGAAAGUGAAUGUCUUUUGUCGACAGGAAUGCAAACCAUGUGACAACAGUAAUGGCGUAUGAAAAGGCGCCACAGCGAACAUGAGGACAGCAAAUCUAUAAACAGCGGAAAUGUGUUCUCAAAUAAUUGGACAUCAGACAAAUUUUCUUUCCUGAUAUUACUGCCAACAUGGGAGAAAAGACGGAAGCUGCAGUGAUUUUAAACAUGAUUUUGGUGAUGACAAGGAUUUCAACGCGUAUGCUUCGGCCUUCUUUGAUGAAGAGAUAGAUGAACCCCUAAUGAAUCAUCAAAGACUGAACCCCCAUCAGGCAACCAGACAACAUCCAGGCAUUAUGCAGGUAACGUCAUCCAUACGGCAUUCAGACAGCAUCCAAGCACCAUACCAAGCAGCCAGACAGCAUCCAAGCACCAUACCAAGCAACCAGACAUCAUCCAGGCACUACACCAAGCAACCAAACAGCAUCCAGGCACCACACCAAGCGACCAGACAGCAUCCAGGCACCACACCAAGUAACCAAACAGCAUCAAGGCACCACACCAAGCAACAAAACAGCAUCCAGGCACCACACCAAGCAACUAGACAGCAUUCAGGCCCUACACCAAGCAACCAAACAGCAUCAAGGCACCACACCAAGCAACAAAACAGCAUCUAGGCACCACCAUACCAAGCAACCAGAUAGCAUCCAGGCACCAUACCAAGCAAUCAGACAGCAUCCAGACACCACAUCGAGCAACCAGACAGCAUCCAGGCACAAUACCAAGCAACCAAACAGCAUCCAGGCACCACACCAAGCAACCAGACAGCAUCCAGGCAACACAUUAGGCAACCAGAGCCGAUGAUGACCACAGCACCAGUAUCUUGGUUCUCUCACUGGGCAGUGUUCGUUAUCACCGUUGGCCAUCACAGUCAGUAUUGUUGAUAUAGAACACAUCUAUAUUACUUGGGAUUUUCGGAACAGGAUGCGCCACCAUACAGUACUUGCCAAUGACAUUGUGAGUCAUCAUCUGUAGACUUGCCCGACCCUACCAUUUCACCCAAGACACUCUCAUGAACACACACAUGAAGAAUCAGAAGAUGGAUAUGGGGACUCGCGAAGAGAAGACAAGAUCAAUCAAGAGAACCGAAAUAAUAUCUCUCUGCAACUAACCUGUUGUCGACCAAGACUUCAACCUCGUUUAUAUUCGAGCGAUUCCCGCCAAGUUCAUCCUGAGCCGUGAUUGGAAGUAGAUACAUGCUCAAGUACACAUCACCAUCCAUACAGCCUGGUCAGCGAGGAGUGGAACAAAGUUUACAGUCCUUGUAAAGGUUAUAAACUACCGUUUGCUACCGUUGCUGACAAAACUAAAGCUAUUAGUUAUUACUCCCAAUCUUUAUCUUUGAAGGUCAAGCCCACCCCAGAAAAUGUAUAUUUGAAUUAAUAGAUAAAUCAAACAAUCAUAACGUUGAAAAUUGUUUCGCUUAUUUUUCCCAAAACAGUUAUAUGGACAACUCAGUGACAUGCAAUAAGAGAGUCGAUGAUGUUCCUAUCUCACUAUUUCUCUCUCUUUUUUAUCGUUUUAAUUACGCAAAUAUUCCCAUUUUUACAGAUUUGACAUGAAGGACAAACUUUACUGAACCAUAAAAUAUUAAAACAAUGGCAGUACCACAUGUUCAGGGAGAAAUAUAACUUUGUUUCACAGGACAAUUGAAUUAGAAUAUUUUAUAUAAUAACAUACAAAAGAAAUAGUGAUUAGAUGACGUCAUCAAUCCCCUCAUUUGCAAAUCGACCAGGAUAUGCAUACAGUGCGUCCCAGAAAAAAACGAAACCGAGAUUUAGCGAUGAUUUAUCAUAACUUAAUCAAAAAUAAAAUUGACAAAUGACCUACCAAUGUAAAGCUUAGAAUCUCCUCUUUCAUCUGAUAUUACUUAGAUUAUUUCUCCUUCACGCAUGAGUGAGCAAAAACAAUUUGAAGAGGGGAUACCAAAAAGUCAUUUGGCGGGUUGUAUCUGGCUUUCAAAAGGAAAACCACAUUUUUAAAAAGUUCAAUAUCUGCUCUUUAAUUUGAUACCUCAAUUACAGA